AGGGUUUGAUUCUGGCUCAGGACGAACGCUGGCGGCGCGCCUAACACAUGCAAGUCGAACGGAGCUAUGUUGAAAGCUUGCUGGAUAUAUAGCUUAGUGGCGGACGGGUGAGUAACACGUGAGCAACCUGCCUUUCAGAGUGGAAUAACGUUUGGAAACGAACGCUAAUACCGCAUAAUGUCAGAGGAUGGCAUCAUUCUUUGACCAAAGAUUUAUCGCUGAAAGAUGGGCUCGCGGCCGAUUAGGUAGUUGGUGAGAUAAUAGCCCACCAAGCCGACGAUCGGUAGCCGGACUGAGAGGUUGAACGGCCACAUUGGGACUGAGACACGGCCCAG
rnacentral:rRNA from 1 species